GAGAGGGAGCCUGAGAAACGGCUACCACAUCUAAGGAAGGCAGCCGGCGCGCAAAUUACCCAUUCCUGACACAGGGAGGUAGUGACAAGAAAUAACAAUACAGGACCUAACGGUCUUGUAAUUGGAAUGAGUUAAGUAUAAACCCCUUUACAAGUAGCAAUUGGAGGGCAAGUCUGGUGUCAGCAGCCGCGGUAAUUCCAGCUCCAAUAGCGUAUAUUAAAGUUGUUGCAGUUAAAAAGCUCGUAGUU
rnacentral:rRNA from 1 species